GUAACACUCACCGCGAGGCUCCGCGGCUUCAUUCUUGAAUUCAUUUUCAGUGAACCUUCAGAGAAUGAUGGGCAGGUUUUCCCUUGGCCCCCACAGUUUUGGCACUGUGAGCAGGAUACCAAAACCACUCUGUUCUUCUGGAAGCCACAGCCCAGGGAACCUAGGAUCUGAGAAGUUCACAAAAGGACACACUUCCUGCCACUGCUGAGAACUGACUGGUGAGUGGAUGAGGCAAACAUCUUCCCAGGUCAUGAGGGGAAAGGCUGCUGAGACUUAGCUUGUGUUGAAGUCUGAAUGGAAGCCAUUUAUGGAUAUGCAAAGAGGAAUGGAUAAUUGAUGAAGCAUGGUAACAAAGAUUAUUUUCAUCUGAGUACAAAGAUAAAGGUUGCCAUAGCCAUUGGAGAUCACACCAUGACUUGCUUCCCGACCACCUGGAUUUUAUGUGAAGUCACAUGUUCUUAGAAAAACAGACUUUUAAGACACUCUUCUGCGAUCUGACAUUUUCAAGUCUGUUGGGCUCAACAUGCAAGAACGAGAUCAGCCUACAGUACAGACUGGGAUGUACCCUCAGAUCCCUGAGCUGGAAGGAGAAGGGGCAAGAGAGGAUUGGGGUCCAGAGCCAAAGAGGACUGAGGGAGACAAAGGCAGCUGAGACAAAAUGACCCAUUAUCAGAAGCCCUACGUAAAGCCAAGAAACAAGCCAGACUAAAUCCCCAGCAACUGCAUUGAAGCCAGCAGAAGAAGUGCAAUCAGGUGGCUUGGCAGGAGCAGCAUCCACUUUUUCUUGGGCAUUCUUUUCACAGUGUAG
rnacentral:lncRNA from 1 species